rnacentral:rRNA from 1 species
GACGAACGCUGGCGGCGUGCCUAAUACAUGCAAGUCGAACGCACAGUUUAUACCGUAGCUUGCUACACCAUAAACUGUGAGUUGCGAACGGGUGAGUAACGCGUAGGUAACCUGCCUGGUAGCGGGGGAUAACUAUUGGAAACGAUAGCUAAUACCGCAUAAUAUUGAUUAUUGCAUGAUAAUUGAUUGAAAGAUGCUAUUGCAUCACUACCAGAUGGACCUGCGUUGUAUUAGCUAGUAGGUGAGGUAACGGCUCACCUAGGCGACGAUACAUAGCCGACCGGAGAGGGGGAUCGGCCACACUGGGACUGAGACACGGCCCAGACGCCUACGGGAGGCAGCAGUAGGGAAUCUUCGGCAAGGGAAGAAAGGCUGACCGAGCAACGCCGCGGGAGUGAAGAAGGGUGUCGGAUCGUAAAGAUCUGUUGUAAGAGAAGAACGGGUGUGAGAGUGGAAAGUUCACAAUGUGACGGUAGCUGAACAGAAAGGGACGGCUAACCACGUG